GAGUAGAUUUUAUAUUAUAUAUUUUACCCUAAUCUUAGUAUAUUUUGGUUAAUAUAUUGGAAGAAUUUUGAUACUUUGAAUUAUAUUUUCAAUAUAGGACUUUUGACUUCCUCUGGAGCAAAAUAGGACCAAAUGGACGAAUUUUGGAGUAAUUCCAAUUGGAGGACGUUCGUGAGUCACUUAGCUUGAUCGUAUCAAAAUUUGGGAUUUUUCCACCAAGCGGUUAUUUUCUGGCGAUGAAAUAAAGAAGCAGUGCGCAGUGCUGGAAAAUGACGUUUUUGGGCUUAAAUUGCGUUUUUGGAGCCCAAGAUGACCUCGGAUGGGUUCGUGGCCUUCUGGAAAAGUGUUCAGAAUAUUCCAAACAUUAAAUCCAGCUAUAUUGGGCCAGUUUUGGGGCAGCUUUUGGGCCAAAACGUGGCUGUUCAGAUUUUGGACGAAUUUUACUAUUUUUAUUUAGGGUUUUUAUGAAUUUUAGUUUGCUAGGGUUUGGGGUGGCUUGGCAAAUAUAUUGCUUGGCCGUCUACAGUUUUAGGGUACGCUUUAUUUUAUGCAAU
rnacentral:lncRNA from 1 species